UUCAUGAGCAGAAGUUUCUGCUCGUUCACAAGGAAGUAUAACAUUCCAAUACCUGGAUCUAUAUAAUAUUCCAGUAUAUGGACCUAUGAAGGAAUGUUUGUUUACCCUUUAAUGUUUUUUUUCAAAUAUUCAGACAUCAAAUUAGCAUUUGAGGAGAGCUUGUUGGUAUGAAAAUUCUUUUCAAGUGUUCACAAAGAGCUGAGCAAAACUUGACUUUGUCUGUAGCUAAUCUCCACUGAUAUCACAGAAUCACUUCUCCUAUUCUGAACAGCAGGGAAGAACUUGACUCAGAGCUCCAAGUCAGUUGGUGCAUCUUAAAGAAAGGAGAAAGGCCUGCCAUCUGCUCUGUACCACUGCUGCCAAAACUCCACAGAAUACAAACAGAAGUCAGAGCUUAGCUGCCAGCAGCUUCCAUCCACCUAGGAGGUGCCAGGUACUGUAAGUGAAAAGAUACAAAAACU
rnacentral:lncRNA from 1 species